rnacentral:rRNA from 1 species
CGGACGGGUGAGUAAUGCUUGGGAAUCUGGCUUAUGGAGGGGGAUAACUACGGGAAACUGUAGCUAAUACCGCGUAGUAUCGGAAGAUGAAAGUGUGGGACCGCAAGGCCACAUGCCAUAAGAUGAGCCCAAGUGGGAUUAGGUAGUUGGUUAGGUAAAGGCUGACCAAGCCGACGAUCUCUAGCUGGUCUGAGAGGAUGACCAGCCACACUGGAACUGAGACACGGUCCAGACUCCUACGGGAGGCAGCAGUGGGGAAUAUUGCACAAUGGGGGGAACCCUGAUGCAGCCAUGCCGCGUGAAUGAAGAAGGCCUUCGGGUUGUAAAGUUCUUUCGGUGAUGAGGAAGGUGUUUGUUUUAAUAGAACAAGCAAUUGACGUUAGUCACAGAAGAAGCACCGGCUAACUCCGUGCCAGCAGCCGCGGUAAUACGGAGGGUGCGAGCGUUAAUCGGAAUAACUGGGCGUAAAGGGCACGCAGGCGAUGACUUAAGUGAGAUGUGAAAGCCCCGAGCUUAACUUGGGAAUUGCAUUUCAUACUGGGUCGCUAGAGUACUUUAGGGAGGGGUAGAAUUCCACGUGUAGCGGUGAAAUGCGUAGAGAUGUGGAGGAAUACCGAAGGCGAAGGCAGCCCCUUGGGAAUGUACUGACGCUCAUGUGCGAAAGCGUGGGGAGCAAACAGGAUUAGAUACCCUGGUAGUCCACGCUGUAAACGCUGUCGAUUUGGGGAUUGGGCUUUGAGCUUGGUGCCCGU